CACCUCCCAGGUAACAAAAAUCCUCCUAUAAAAGGAAACCUGGAGGGAAAAGGGAGGGAGGACCAAAAACCAGAGAAAAAACCCGGAGCUGGAGAGAACCCUCCUAGACCGGAGAAAAAAGGAAGAAAACAGCACAGACACAAUUGAACACGAGAUUCUCUUUGUCUUCUCCACAUACUCUCUCCCCUGCUCUCUCCACAUACUUGCCCCCUCUGACUUAGGCAUCGGAGGGCCGGCGCCGGGGAGCCCGGCCACCGGUUUUCUUUGCAGGACUUGCACACCCCCCCGCAGCGGAGGACGCAGCCAG
rnacentral:lncRNA from 1 species